rnacentral:rRNA from 1 species
UACGGAGGGUGCAAGCGUUAAUCGGAAUUACUGGGCGUAAAGAGUGCGUAGGUGGUUGUAUAAGUUAUUUGUGAAAGCCCCGGGCUCAACCUGGGAAUGCCAAGUAAAACUGUAUGACUCGAGUAUAGGAGAGGGUAGUGGAAUUUCCGGUGUAGCGGUGAAAUGCGUAGAGAUCGGAAGGAACACCAGUGGCGAAGGCGACUACCUGGCCAGAUACUGACACUGAGGCACGAAAGCGUGGGGAGCAAACAGG